GCGGGCCGAGCGUCGCUCAGUCGCCGAGAGGGGAGCUGACGUUCUGCUUCGUCCAGCUGAACGCAAGCAAUGGACAUGGAGAAGGUCAACUCCAUGGACUUUGGAGAAUUUGUGGAUGUGUUCGGGAAUGUCGUUGAGAGAUGCCCUCUGAUUGCGGCUGCUGUGUGGUCCCAGCGCCCGUUCUCCAACUCGGAAGAUUUAGAGAAGCACUUUUUUGCCUUUAUUGACGCCCUUCCACAGUCAGAGCUCCCGACUCAUCUCAGCGCCAGAGUCAGAUGCUUCAGCCCCACAGUCCAGUUACAACGUUUACUACGACUAAUAACAACGGUUGUUUCUUGGAUGUUUGCUAGCAUUAGGCGCUGCGUUGGGGGGGGGGGGGAUGGAUUAAUUGUCUCCAAUCCUCAUAACGACUCGCAAGUUAGGUGUGUCAUUACCCUCCUCGUACCGAUUAUGGCUGGCUGCUUACCAUAUCGGAAAUCUUGCCCAGCCUUGAGCAUUUGAAUUCUGGCUUGAGAGAGCUAAGCAAAAAUGGUUGGUCAGGGCUCACGGAAACCCCCCGGAUUAGGAUUUAAAAGCUCAGGCAUUAUUACACCAGGGGGUUCCAGUUUUAAGCCUCGGAGAUUAUGAGAAGCUAUCUUGCAAGAAAACUCCAAAUUGUUCUCUGCGCUGUCUUUAGGAUCUAUAUUUGGAGAAAGGGAAUGAGCCUCAGACGGCGGGUG